UCCGUGUGAACGUGGAUAGUUUCGAUAACGUAGCCAUCUGUACAAAGAAAAACUCUUCCAUUUUUAGUACAUAGUCGUCAUGUAAACGUACCCUGAGUUGGUUUUCAGUGUUUCUAGAUCAGUUUCCUUUGUUUGUGUUCAUUAGUUACUAUGGUUACUCAUGGGUUAAUUGGUGUUUUGCACCUGAUGUUCAUUUAGUUCAUUGAUUUGUUUCAGUGUAUUUAAGCUCUGUUCAUUUCAGUUUUUUGUCUGUAAUCAUUACAUUUAACUUAGUUGAUUCUGUUCCUGCCUAGUGUUUUUUUUUUUUUUUUUUAGUUUUUGUGUAAAUAAAGUCUAGCUGCUGUAUUUAGAUCCUUUUCAUUCAUCUUUAUUUUCAAUAAGCUUUGACAGAACAACAGAUUUUCUACAAUGGAUCUAGCAGCAGUAAAGUUUCUUCUCCCCUCCCAGGAUCUGUCCCUUGAGGCCCACACUCAGAGAUUCCCCUUUAUCAUUUUGGAGAAUGAGGAGAACGACAGUGAGCCAGCCUGCUGCCAACACCCCAACGACUGAUAAGCCAGAGCUCACCAUAACCGUAAUGCCAGCAGAGAAGACUGAGCCAAGGAUAAUUCCGGAGCCCGAGCUCAAUGUAACAUCUGACCAGGUACAUGAGCCGGCAACUUAAGUCAUCGAAGAACUACUGGUGGAGUAUGAGGGGAUGAAAUGGUUUCUGCUCUGGAGGGAGCGCUAAUAGACUUUGACAGUGACCGUGUCCUGCCUGUCUCGUUUUCCUACUCCUUGCCUGUUUCCCCAGCCAGCACCAAACUGUUAGAUGUUUUCUUCCUGCCUUGCCUCCCACUCCUGCCUCCUGCCUGUUUCAAGUCUGAUAAAUGUGAAGUAUCUGCCUGUCCCAUGUCAGCCAAGAGGAUCGUUCAGAGAGAAACUGCCUGUCCUGUGUCAGUCAAGAAUGAGACUGCUGAGAAACUUGUCUGUCUCAUGUCAGCCUAAAGUGUUAAUUGUGAAAUUCCUGUCUGCACUGCCUAGUUCUGCUGCCCUGCCCGCACUCUCCUCUCAGCCCUUCAGCUCCUCCCAUGCUAGUUCCGCUUUCCCACCAGGAUGUGCCAUGGUCUUUGGGUUCGCCAGCCCAGCCCUGGAGUGUCAACCACAUUGCUCUGCCCAGAUCUUCCAUGCCUGUCACUCCAUCUCGGCCUUUGACCUAGUCGGCUCACUGUUUGCUCCUCGCUCCUUUGGCUCAACCUGGGACCAUCGUCACUAUGGCUCCACCGGGCUCCCUCGUCCACCUUGGUCAGUCAUCACUCUACCAUUGCCACAGACUUCCGGGCCUUCUGCUGUGCCUGGUCCCGUCAGCUCUUCAGCUCUGUCUGGCUCUCCACCAAUAGGGGCUCAGUCUUGAUCACUCCUCACCCUGGAAAGGCCUGCCAAACCACCUUCAUGGAUCCUCCCUCCCUUGACUAUGCGUUUGCUUGAGUUUGACUUUGAGUUGGUUUUCACUGUUUCUAGAUCAGUUUCCUUUCAUCUGUUUGUUAGUUACUAUGGUUACUCAUGGGUUAAUUAGUGUUUGCACCUGAUGUUCAUCUAGUUCAUUGGUUUGUUUCAGUGUAUUUAAGCUUCGUUCAUUUCAGAGCUGUCCACACGGAGAUGCGUUUAGAUGUAUAUGUAAAAAUAUUCGAUCAUAUCGGCGUUUAGUCCAGAUGGAUCUGCCAUUUUGGGAGCCUGAAACCGCCAUUUUUAUUUUUAUAUUUUCUUUUUAAACUGGGU